CCUCUCUGUAACGCGAGUGCGAGAUUUGGCUGAUUGGAAUUGGAUGUGGGUCAUUCAAGUCUAUCAAUCAUGGACUGCGCAGAGAGUCCGUCCUAUUCAAAUUAGGGGUCAUGUGCGGGGCUUCAAGUAAUUGGGGUUUCGUAUAUGUUAAAGUGAGAGGGACUGCCCAAGGCUGGAAACAGAGCAGGGAUAACUCUCCGUCCUUAAUCAUGGAAGGAUCGCGGACUUGAGCAUUUCUGGUAGGC
rnacentral:SRP_RNA from 1 species